UUAUAACAACAAUUUCCUUACAAUGUCUUUCGCUUAAACAUUCAAAAACCAGAACAAAAAGCAGAUCCGAGAGACGAAAUCAGGCAGAAAUCCGAGCAGUAACCACAGAUAUAUAUAUAUAUUAUACACGCAUACAAACGUGUAUAUAUUAGAAUAUAUUACAUACAUAUAUAUAUAUAUAUGUGCAUGUAUAGAUAGAUAGAUACAUACAUAUAAACAUUUGAGAGAUAGAUAAGAGUGAGCUAGGUUGAUACACCUGGCUGUGUAUAUAUCAACUCAUUACUUCUGUCAUCUGCAUCAGAAACAAACGCUAAAGUUAUACAAACUCGAUUUCUUCAUUAAACCCAAGAUCCACCGUUUGUGAUCAUGCCUAGAAUUACGGUAUUAACACUACUUUCGAUAACGUCCUCAAUGCUAGUAUUUUACUGCCUUGCAUCGGAGUUGAAGCCCGAACAGAUCAACCGACCACAAUCUAUUGCAGCUCCUCGCACAGAGCGAGACACAACCAGAGCAUCGAAAGAUGUUCUGGCUAAUAUCUUAUUAAACAUCCUACGAGAAAGGAGUAUGGCAAAUGGAUAUAUAAACUAUCCAUCGGCUUCCAAUUUGGACAACCAGCUUGAUUCAUCGCCUCAGCUACAGAAGAAGAAUACAUAUUAUGGUUAUCGUCGAAGCAAUGGACGUGUGCCAUCGUUCGGAAGUAAGAUUUUCCCUUCUUCAUCAGAAGAAGAUAGCGGUCCUUCAGUUUUUAGAUAUGGUUAAUUUUAAAAAAACAACAACAACAAAAUGGAACUAUACACUGACACGCCUAAUUUUAACUACAACUGUAGAAAUUACAACUUCAACAACAACAACAACAACAACAACAACAUCAUCAGCAGCAGCAGCAAUAAUAUUAACAAGGACAACAUCAACAACAGCAGCAGCAGAAAUAAGCAGAAGCAACAUCAAUUUAAAUUACAAAUAAUUUAGUAAAAUACGAAAUAAAGUUAUUCAGAAACCAUGAAAAAAA